GUGGUAAUUUCGAUGGGUGAUUUGUAAGGGUGAACUGUUCCUGGAUUGGGACAAUGUGAGCACAAUGUUGCAAAGUGUUACAGUGGUGCAGUGCAAGUGAUCGGAAGAUGUAGUGUGGAAAGAGUGAUCUGAAGUCGGCGAAACAUUUGGAAGACAGCAGACGAUUGCUCCAAUCAACUGUACGACCUCCAAUUAGCCACCCGGAUUCCGCACCUCCUCCCGGUCAUGGGGGACCGCCGCUACCUCGCUUUCACUUGGUACAUAUUUCCCAUAACCCAUGUGAUGUGACGUAGUGGUACCUUCCCGUGGCUAUUUCAACGAUUCCUUCCCAAGCGAUCCAGAUCAUCUCUACGAACAUUCCUCGGCCCCACAAUGUAACCCUCACGGGGCGCGGGUGACCUCCAAUCAGCACCACCCGAAGAAGAUGCCAAAGCGAUAAACCUCUCAGCAGCCGUUCUUCAGCCAAAAUUAAUGAUCUUCCACCAGCCCAGCGAUCAUCGCCGCCAACAACUACCAGCACUUUGGAUGGAAAACCAGAUUAGGUGAUAAACAAUCUUCCCGGCCAUUAUCUAUCCGAGAACCAAACUGCAAAUUAAAUAAACGCUU